UUUAUAUUCUAUAAAUGGAUGCAG
rnacentral:piRNA from 1 species